GCACUAUUAAAAACUUAAAAUUUUUUACAUCAAAAGACUACCGAUUUUUAUAAUAAUGGCGGAGCCUACCUCCUUAUCGGAAGCUGACUUUAGGAAACGUUAUGGGAACAUAGUAACAAAAAGUGUCGCAAGGAAAGCAUUAAACAAGGACAGACACUAUUUUGACUCUGGAGAUCAUGCCUUAUCUAAAGCUGGUAAGGCGGAAUGCCCUCUUGGUAAUAAAAUUCCUUCACCGGAAGUUAUUACUUCUCAAGUUCGUAGGAAGCCGAGUCAGUUGCAAGUAGAACACUUAAGCCAGGAAUCUUAAUAAAUUUAUGACAAAUAUACUAGAUAUUGGUUUUAGUAGAUUUUGAAAUUGUUUAUAGCAUGAAAGUACGUUUGAGAUAAAGUUAAAUAAGAUUUGAGUUUUCUUUUAUUCUUCUUUUACGAUUUUUAUAACUUUUAUUAGAGGAUU